GUGCAAUGGUGCAAUCUCAGCUCAGUCGCCUCCCAGGCUCCAGUGAUUUUCCUGCCUCACCCUUCUGAGUAGCUGGGAUUACAUGGCCGCUGUGGUUCGUCUUCUGCCUGGGAACUGGAUAAAAACAUCAGUGAAUACCCCAAAGAUUUUCAAAAAUGCUUGUUGAUAAAAUGAAGUCAGAAUGUGAGAUGAGCCCUUCCACCUGAGUCAUGUUGGUCUUGGCUGUGUGAUUUGCUUUGGCCGAUGAUAAGUUGAUGGAAGUGAUAGUAAGACAAUGCUGAGCCUCAUCCUCGGAAGUAUCUCUGCCUUCACCUGGCUUUGUGCACCACUGCCCCGGCUUUGAGAAGAACAUGACCCCAGUAAAUUGUUAGUCCAGGAAGAAUGAGAGAGAAAGUCCUGAGGCAGAGAAGCGGAGAGAAGUUGCUGCUUGAGCUUGAGAAAGAAUUGUGGCAGAGUACAUGCAUGGAAGUGCUACCAUAGCUGCUCUGAAAUCAGAGGAAAGUGGAUUUAUAAGAAGACCCCAUCUGGCAAGGCUCAUAAAGGAGAGCAACUCUUAUGGAAUACAUCCAAGAUAUAUACGUCUUUGAAGAAAGACAUCACUCAACUGUGAAAGAUCACCAUGACCCCUGCUUUAAUUUCAUCAAAAAACUUAGUCCAUCAGCUCAGUUACCCUUUAGCCUUGCAUGGGAAUUGACUCAGAGCUUCUGUGAGAUCAGGGUGAAUAUGAAUUGUUUAGCUUCAGAUGAUCAUUCCUAAAGUGAAAACUCCUGGAACUUAUUGGCAAAAAAGAGAACUCUUUGCUAUUUCUAAUAUAAAUGUGUUAUUAGAAUUGGUCUACUGUUCUAAUAAAUAACAGUAAUGGAAA